rnacentral:rRNA from 1 species
UACGUAGGGUGCGAGCGUUAAUCGGAAUUACUGGGCGUAAAGCGUGCGCAGGCGGUUUUGUAAGUCCGAUGUGAAAUCCCCGGGCUUAACCUGGGAACUGCGUUUGAAACUACAAGGCUAGAGUGUGGCAGAGGGGGGUGGAAUUCCACGUGUAGCAGUGAAAUGCGUAGAGAUGUGGAGGAACACCGAUGGCGAAGGCAGCCCCCUGGGUUAACACUGACGCUCAGGCACGAAAGCAUGGGGAGCAAACAGG